rnacentral:piRNA from 1 species
UAUCACUUUGACUUUUUAGUAGUUGGCUGA